AGAAAGCAGUCAGCAAGCAGAGGAGUUAGAACCAUCUGGUGACAGUGUGAGUACAUAUGUAGGGAGGCAGGUACGGCAAGAAGUGAUCCUGCGGUAUUUUUCAGAUAACUGAGGUGAUCGGGGCUCAUCACUCUGUGGACUCGCCAAUAGUGCCAGUGGUGGCUGGGGUGACACUGCAGAAAUGCGCCGCCUGGGUGGGGAAGAUGGAGCCGCAGAUUCCGUGCCAAGACGCCGUGUCUUACUUGGCCUCCUGGAAUAUGUGACUACAGUGAAGUCUUACCUGCAAUCCCAGCAUCAUCCUGAGUUGUCUGAGGCCUGUCUGGCCGGCUGGUCUGUCGGACUGUUGAAAAAGUGGAGCAAACAUUAUUACCAUGCUUUGUGUAAAAAUUACAACUGCAAAGCCUUAGUGUACUGUA